GUGUAGGCUAUCAUCUAUGAAACAUAUUUAGAUAUCAAUUUGAUACAUGUUAUGGUUUCAAAACACACUUAAAAGGCCUACAUGUUUUAGGAAUGACCUAGAGUUUAGGCCUUUUAUGUUUGAGUGACACUAUCAGUUCGCUCUCCCACUAUUCCAAUGACAGAUUGGGGGUAAUCUUUGUCUGUGAGGCUAUCACAUGAGGUGGCCAUGUAUUUGACCUCCAAUCUCUCUCAAAUACAGAUUUUGUCUUGAGAAGAAUGACAAAUAUUUUACGACAGGACGUAUUCACCGGUUGUCAGAGCAACACCCUACCGCCGCUGUUGAGUUACAUUAGCAAGUAUAGCCAUUUAUAUCAAAGGAACGUGGUAUCCGAGGGAAUUGCUGCAACUACUCAGUUUGUUACUUUGUGUAUAUAUCUUUGUGCAACGAGUUAUAACAUGUUGACUUGCAUCAGUCGUUUCAGAGCGCACCACCACCAUUGUGGUGAAUAGGAAGACGUUUGAGAAAGUCAUGCAGCAUCGAAUCGAUUGCUGAGAAUUCAGUGUCCACGACAUCUUUCAAGAAAACUCAAUGUCCAUUUUCUAAACGAAGGAGCCCUGUUGCCUUUUGGAUGCACGUAGCAACAUUCACCAAACAGGCCUAAUCAGAGACCUACAUUCCAUGCCUGUGGUCCCGUGCUAAGCACUAAAAGCCAGCCAAUGAUGCUAACCUUCACCACCCCUGAAGCAGAGGACGAAGCCUGUUGCCGGGACUCCCCGCAGAAACCUAGACCUCAAUUCACCCACUCAUGCCUGUGAUCCCUAUCCCUCGGCGAGUGCGCAGCUUCCAUGGCCCCCACACCACCUGCAUGCACUCGGCCUGCGGGCCGGCGCGCACCACCCAACUUGUGCGCACCAAGUACAACAACUUUGACCUGUACCUGCGCUCGCGCUGCAUGUACGGCUUCCUGCGCUUCCUGCUCUACUUUGGCUGCAGCCUUCUGACCUCCCUCCUCUGGGUGUCGCUGUCUGCUCUCUUCUGCCUGCAGUACGUGAGCGCUCGCCUUUUCCUGCGGCUGCAGUACAAGCUGUCCGUGAUCCUGCUGUUGCUAGGACACCGGCGCUUUGACUUUGGGGUGCUCAACAACCUGUUCAUAUACAGUAUGCAGGUCACAAUGUUCCUAGUGGGAGGCCUGGGCUGGUGCUUCCUGGUGUUUGUGGACAUGUAGCAUCUGGUUACAACAGACCAUGGAUCACUGUUUUAUGCCAAUGUCAGACAUCCACCUGAGUGAUGCACGGCGUGAGGAUGACCAGGAAUAAAAGGGCCUGUCCAGGAGAAGGUCCGUGCCCAAUGCUGCAUUCGUAACCAAGUGGGAGGUGUGAAUCAACCAGUUGUGAAGUCGUAAAUACCAGUUGGAUGCAUUCACAUGCUUUGAACUUGUUCAGAAACGCCUAUUGGCUAAUGGCCAACAAACUGUGUAAACCAUAAACUAAACGUGCAGUUAUCAUCAUGCUUGUAAACAAAUUAUAGUGUUCAAAAAACAUAUUAACAGAUAAUUUAUAAAAAGCAAUGUUUUUGUUGCAUUUAACUGCAGAAAAUUCUGUUAUCCAGGUCAUUUCCGAGGUAAGUGACGUCAGAGGUCAGCAUGUGGGAGCUCAGGAUGAUGGACGAGUUUCACACUAGUAAUUAUCAGUUAGAGGCCAUUAAAGUGGAUAUUUCUCCA